CCCACCAGCCUCUUUAUAAAGGAAGACCAGCAGCUGCCAUUAUACAAAAGCGGCCUGAGAACUAGACACCUAACUAAUGAGAACAUACUGGACAGCAGAGAGAACUCUGCUUAAUGCACUGCGGUGGCCUCGAUGGGAAGGAAGUCCAGGAGGGUGGGGACGCAUGUAUAUGUAUGGCUGAUUCACUGUGCUGUGGAGCAGACACUAACACAAGGUCGGACAACAACUACACUCUGGUUGUUGAGAAUGUCAUUGGCUUCUUGUAAGGUGUUUCGUCCCUUUUCGGCAGCUUCUUCCGCAAGAGCCUUGGCAGCAUCAGCUCGGGCGAGGAGUUGGUCGGCAGUCUGCAAACACAUGGCAGGUCAGAGGACAAAGCCUCCCAGGCAAGGCUUUACUGGGGCCCCGGCUGCAGCAGAGAACAAGUAACAGGCUGCCGUGCUCGCUCGUUCACUGAAAGGGCGUCCUCAAAAGCAGACUGUACGCCUCGGCUGAGGUAUCACUGGCUGUUUUCGCUACUCGUACAAUGUCAUCAGCUUCUUGUUUAUGGC